rnacentral:tRNA from 1 species
GCCUCAGUAGCCCAGUGGUAGAGCGUUUGCCUAGUACCCAGUGUGUCAGCAAAAGGUCCAGUGUUCGACUCACUGUUGAGGCA